rnacentral:lncRNA from 1 species
CAGAAUGAGAUGAAAGUCCUCAGAGUGACAAAAAUGGGCACUGGGAAAGGCAGCUGCUGCUAAGAAGAUUUCACUGUGACAGAAAGCAAAAAGUGGAGGUCAGACUGUUGCCCAAAGAUCUGAUCCUGUUUAACCAGCCCUGAAGCUGUUCUGAAUGUGCUGUAGACCACUGAGAAUGGAUCGCCCCACACUGAUCAGUUUAUAGUGGGAAGGGCAAGGAAAUGGGACCGGGAACAGAAUCAGUUUUGA